rnacentral:rRNA from 1 species
GAUGAACGCUGGCGGCGUGCCUAAUACAUGCAAGUCGAGCGAACAGAUAAGGAGCUUGCUCCUUUGACGUUAGCGGCGGACGGGUGAGUAACACGUGGAUAACCUACCUAUAAGACUGGGAUAACUUCGGGAAACCGGAGCUAAUACCGGAUAACAUAUUGAACCGCAUGGUUCAAUAGUGAAAGGCGGCUUUGCUGUCACUUAUAGAUGGAUCCGCGCCGUAUUAGCUAGUUGGUAAGGUAACGGCUUACCAAAGCAACGAUACGUAGCCGACCUGAGAGGGUGAUCGGCCACACUGGAACUGAGACACGGUCCAGACUCCUACGGGAGGCAGCAGUAGGGAAUCUUCCGCAAUGGGCGAAAGCCUGACGGAGCAACGCCGCGUGAGUGAUGAAGGUCUUCGGAUCGUAAAACUCUGUUAUCAGGGAAGAACAAAUGUGUAAGUAACUGUGCACAUCUUGACGGUACCUGAUCAGAAAGCCACGGCUAACUACGUG